GGCAGCACCUCCUCCCGGGCUGGGGCCUGACCCCGCGGGUAACGCCUGUGCGCACCCGGUGCAGCCCGCGGCGUCUGAACAAGACCCACGGGGACAGCGGUGUGUAGAAUUCGGUGCUGUGCACACGGGAGCCACGGAGGAGCGUGUUAAGACCUUAAGUCACAUGACCUUCCUGCCCUGGGUUCAGGGUGGGACUGAGCCCUGGAAAGGAGGCCCGUUCAACUGAAAUGAAGUGCUCAGUAAGUACCUUUGACUUUUCUGAAGGCCACGUGAAAACGUUCAAAGGAACAGGUGAAACUACCCGGCACAGCUCAGCCAUACAGUGCUUUUCUGGCAAAUCGAAGCCCUGGGUUCCAGCCCAGCAAAAACAAGAUAAUUCAGAAAACAAGAGAGAAAGUCACAGGUGAGGUUGGUUGUGAUGUCUUUAAAGCAGUAUAUGUAAAAUGUCAUUGAUGAACUAUGCAAACAGUACAAUGAGGUGUUGCUACUAAUAACAUGUCUUUAUGGUGCUACUCAUUAGGACAGGGCUCAAAGAAAUCUCUGGAGACAGAGUCCCACUCUCAAAAUGCAAAGUUUAUUGACAAGAAUAACUUGCCCGUCUGUCCAGUAGAGUGGCACAACAUAACACAUUUAUUUGAAUAGGGUUUUUGUAACUUUUUAACAAGGAGAAAGAGCAAGCUAGAAAUGACUUUGGGUGCGGGUGGCUGGGUAAUAACAGAUUUUUGUAUUUAGGGACCUUUGGGGGGGGGCGUUAUGGGAACAGGGCAUUUUAAGUUUCUUUUUCUUGGCAUCUUAUGUUAUGGGAACAGGGAAUCUUAAGUUUUUUUCUUGGUAGUUCUGAGGCUCAGAACCAAAAUGAGUUACAACUGUCCAGGGGUCUAACACUUCAGCCUUUUAUUUUAUAAUGAUAAAGGGUAUCAUUCCUCCUGGCUUAUUUGAGCUCAAUAGGGGCAAAGAAUGGUUUAGGACAGAUCUUCAGGGGAGGGGCUAUAUUGGCUCAUAAGGAGCUAGUUUAUAGUCUGAUUAGUGAGUGCCUUUACUGGAUCUUGUAGAAAUUUCUUUAGGCACCUAUUUAGAUAAGAUCCUACGCUGAGAGCUCCAUGAUUAUGUAAGGAGGAGGUCCUUCAAUGGGAGUAGCCAGGGAAGAGAUUCCAGGGUAAAGGCUGCUGCUACUCCUGCUGGAACAUCUGGAUGCUCUCCUGGAGCUCUAACAGCAUUCCUCUCCUAAAAAAGACACAGUGCCUCCCUUCUUUGCCAAUAUUAGACCAAUGGCUCUCCUGUGUCUGAUGUGUGGUGUUAUGGGAAUGGGUAGACUUUCUGGGUUUAAGUGUCAGUUUAAGAAGUAAGGAAAAUUAAGGUAUGCAAGCCAGUUUAUGAGACUCGCAAAGGAUGAAAACCUCAGAAGUUAGGGGAUUCAGGGUUGUGGGACAAACAUAAAUAUGCAUUCUAAGUUUUUUUUCUCUUUUAAAUUUUAUUUAUUUAUUUUAGUUGUUGAUGGACCUUUAUUUUUUAUUUAUAUGCAGUGCUGAGAAUUGAAACCAGUGUCUCUUAUAUUUGAGGCAAACACUCUACCACUGAGCCACAGCCUCAGCCCCAUUCUAAGUUUUAUUUAAAAUAAUUAUUGUUUUUCCUCUAAAAUGUCCAUAUGUGGCUGUGUUUGGGUUAUACUGUCCUGCCAAGUGUUUAAGAUCAAGUUAGUCAAAAAUUGACCUGGUUCCUAUCUGUUUGUUAAGAGUGAACUGAAGGUCUGGGGGCAUAGUUCAGUUGAUAGAGUGGUUGCCUCACAAGCACUAGACCCUGGGUUCAAUCCCCAGCAAAACACACACACACACAAAGAGCUAAGUUCCCAAAGGGGUCAAUCUUGGGAACUUGAGAGUAGUUUCUUAACUCUUUUAGUGCCAUCUGCCAGGUAGGGUUUCCUUGAUGAGGUGGCUUCUCUUGGAAUCAUCAGGGAUGUUUCCCUUCUUGAAUGAUCUUCUUCUUUGCAGCAGGUAUACUAAUUAACUUUCCAUUUACCAGUGGUCUCAUUAAUCUCCCUGAUCAGGAGGUCAUGUGGCCCAGAGUAGUAAAGCUCCUUGGAGAAGUUCUCUUAUUCCCUGGGUUUAGGCUGACUCAGAAGAUAAGAGCCAAACAUUGGUUUUCUUGGCCCCUUUAUUUAAGCUCAAGUUUUAAAUCUUGAUCUUAAACAUCCAGCAAGCCAGCUCCACCAGUCUUAAAGUACAGAGUUUUAACCUUAAUGUUUGUAGCUUUACCCCUUAUAUUUACUUGGAGUCUGUAUUAGUAUUGGAAGUUAGCCUUAUAUUUUAUCUGACCUCAGGUGAUGGCUUAUUAUCUUAAAUUAAUCUAGGUUGUGUGUUUUUUAAGUAGUUCCUCUACAAAACAUUAACAGGUAACAGUUAUAAAGUUUACAAGGAAAAUACAAAAUGAAAUUAAAAAGAGUAAGAACAUGUUUGGCUUGUGUAAUAGCUGUCUUGAACUUCAGCUGCCUUAUGCAUUAUAUACCUGUUUGAGAUCACAGUAAUCUUUAGAAUACAUUAAACUUCUACACAUAACUGUAAAUAAGCUGAAGGCCAGCCUGUUUUGGAGCCAUUUUAACAUGUAAUAAGGUGGAAGGCAGAGCCUCAUGUCAAGUAAGAUGGGACUCUUGAUAAAUUUUAGGUAAAGUGGUCUAGUUUUGAACCUGAUUUUUGCCUGUUUCUUAAAUAUAAUUUUUACAAAGUUUACACAUAUUGGUUUUUGAGUCUAUCUGGAUGUUAGGUUAUACAAUAUAACAUUACAUCUAAAACAUGACUCAAAGGCUAAGAGAGCUUUUAACUCCCCUUUUGUGGGGAUAAGUGGGAAAAUGUUUUCAUAUUUUAUAAUAUCACCUCCAAACAGAUUAGGCUCUCCUUAUUAUCUUUUAAGCGUGCAUUUAAAUUCUAAUUCCAGUGUGAAGAGUAAGACAAAAUGGUAUAUAUAACUUACUGAUACUAGGUUAAUUUAUCCAGCUAUGAAACAUUAACUGAGACAAAUAAAUAUUAACUCAGUUGAUUAUUUGUACACAAAUGUGAGAUUCUUGCUACAGAUAAUUUCAGUUUGGAGAACACCAGUGUGGCAAAGUACUCUCUUAAGCUUUAUAUUUAACUAAGGUUAACUUUUAAAGUACAAUUUAGGAAAGAAUAGGAGAAGGAAGAUGGCGGCGAGGGGAGUGCAUUACCCCGGUGUGCUGCUUCACUGUGUGGGAGUAUGACAAGUCAGGACGGCUAAAGGAUAUCUUGUUAGGAAUUUCCAGCAAUAGUGGGGUGCUCAGGAACCUGGAGGAAGGAUUUCCAUCGCACGAGGAUCGGCUACGGGGACUCAAACGCGAGAGGUUUGUCGCACGGAAGGUAACACUGCUUAUUCAGCAAAUCGCCCUGCGGCUAGAGUCUGCAGCGCGCUGGGAUAGAGACGCAGGGUUACAGUGCUGCAGUUUCUGCCAGCCGCGCAAGCACCGUACUCAGGGCUGAAUUCUGGGUUCGAGACGGGGGAAGGAAGCGGUCCAUCUCAGUUCUCCACACCGGUCAGACCACAGAGGAGGCCAGCAGCCACCAUGUUGGUAAACUGACGUCACCUUCCCUGUUUUCGACUGACCGCAGCUCAUUCAGCCAUAGAACAGGUAAUUUCAGGCUGCAAUUCGCCUGCGGCUUGCAGACAGAUUGCUAGGGUUCAGCGCCUGGGUGCUUCUUAGAAUCUGAUCUUAUCGGAGCGAACACCGAGCGCGGGGCGGCCGAGUUCCGGCUCCCGGAACCGUCCCGGAACCGCCCUGGCUCAGGGCUGCGGAGCCUGCGGAGGCUGCUUCUUGGACCCUGCUACUAUCAGAGCAUACACCAAGCACUAAGCAGCCGAAUUCCGGCUCCCGGAACUGAGCCCGCGGGGACUGCUUCUUGGAGCUUACACUUAUAGGAGCUUACACCGAGCACGGAGCGGCCGAGUUCCGGCUCCCGGAACUUCCCUGGACCGGGGCUAGGAGCCCGCGGAAACUGCGUCUCGGUCCGGGUCCUGCUGAGGGCCGGUCAGGACUCACCCGUUGCUUUGGUUGCCCGGCAAGGGGAACGAAAUGCUGCCAUUCGCAUAGGAUACCAACAUGGCAGAGAUCUGAUGUCAGCAGAAAGCGGCGGAGGAGAGAACUUCAUCAAUACCAGCGGUGACAUAAGCAGUUGGUCUCCUGGUAGGGGGGGUGAGGCACAGUCACCCGAGUCUCCUCAAUUUGUCCUCGAGCCAGAGGGGAGGAGCCGGGCCGCCGCCAGCGCCCGGAGCAGGCCCAGCGGCUCGCCAGCGUGGUGACCGCGUGACCCCAAUUGGAGAGGGGGCGGAGCGGAGCCGCCACCCACACCCGCCAGGUGGGCAGACCCACGACCCAGUAGUACAUGGGCGUGGUAGGAGGGGCAGGGCAGAGCCGCCCUUCGCGCUUGCAAGGUAAACAGACCUGUGACAGCCUGGCGGGUCAGGCCCAGUGGCCUGCCAGUGUGGUACACACGUCACCCCAACUGGAGUAGGGGCAGAGCAGAUCCUUUACCCACGCCCGGAUCAGGCCCUGCCGGUGUGGUGGUCACGUGACCCCAAUUGGAGUGGGGGUGGAGCGGAACCGCCACCCGUGCCCGCAGGGUGAGCAGACCAGUGAUCAACCUGCAGAUCAGGCCCAGGGGUCCGCAGGAGUGGUAGGAGGGGCAGGGCAGAUCCGCCGCCCGCGUCUCCAAGGUAGGCAGACCUACAACAGACCGGCGGAUCAGGCCCAGGAGCCUGCCGGCGUGGUACAAACACCACCCUAAUUGGAGUAGUGACAGAGCAGAGUCGCCGCCCGUGCCAGGAACAGGCCCAGCGUCCUGCAGGCGGGGUAGUCACGACACCCCAAUUGGAGUAGGGGCAGAGCAGAGCCUCCACCCGUGCCCGAAAGGUGGGCAGAUCUGCGACCGACCAGCGGGACAGGCCCAGUGGCCUGCCGGUACGACAGACACGUCACCCCAUUUGGAGUAGGGGCAGAGUAGAGCUGCCGCCCGCGCCUGCAGGGUAGGCAAACCUGCAACCGACCGGCGGAUCAGGCCCGGUGGCCUGCCGGCGUGGUACACUCGUCACCCCAAUUGGAGUAGGGGCAGAACAGAGCCGCCACCAGCUCCCAGAACAGGCCCAGUGACCUGCCGGCGUGGUAGCCACGACACCCCAAUUGGAAUAAGGAGAGAGCAGAGCCGCCGCCCGCACCUGCAGGAAAGAUACGCAAGCAGUAUGAAAAGACAAGGAAAGAAAGGACCACAAGCAAUGCAGGUCAACGCAACUUUAGAAGAGGUAACAGCUGCAGCAGAUGGAAUGUCAGAUAAAGAAUUCAGGAUAUACAUGCUUCAGAUGAUCUGGAGUAUCAAGGAAGACAUUAAACAGCAAAAUCAGACAAUGAAAGAUCACUUCGACAACGAAUUACGCAAACAAAUCCAGGAAGCAAAGGAUCAACUAUACAGGGAGAUAGAGGUUAUAAAAAACAAGCAAUCAGAAAUCCUAGAAAUGCAGGAAGCAAUAAACCAACUUAAAAACUCAAUGGAGAAUACUACCAGCAGAGUAGAACACUUAGAAGAUAGAACAUCAGACAAUGAAGACAAAGUAUUUCAACUGGAAAAGAACAUAGACAGCUCAGCAAGACUGUUAAGAAACCAUGAGCAGAACAUCCAAGAAAUAUGGGAUAACAUUAAGAGACCAAACUUAAGAGUCAUUGGGAUACAGGAAGGUACAGAGCUCCAAACCAAAGGAAUGAGCAGUCUAUUCAAUGAAAUAAUACAAGAAAACUUCCCAGACUUGAAGAAUGAGACAGAAUCCCAAAUCCUAGAAGCCUACAGGACGCCGAAUGUGCAAAAUCAUAAGAGAUCCACACCUAGACACAUUAUAAUGAAGAUGCCCAACAUACAGAAUAAGGAGAGAAUUUUAAAAGCUACAAGAGAAAGGAAGCAGAUUACAUUUAGGGGUAAGCCAAUCAGGAUAACAGCUGAUCUUUCAACACAGACCCUGAAAGCUAGAAGAUCCUGGAAUAACAUAUUUCAAACACUGAAAGAAAAUGGGUUCCAACCAAGAAUNAUGUUCAAAACUCUAGAAAAACUAGGGAUAACAGGAACAUACCUCAAUAUUGUAAAAGCAAUCUAUGCUAAGCCUCAGGCUAGCAUCAUUCUGAAUGGAGAAAAACUGAAGGCAUUCCCUCUAAAAUCUGGAACAAGACAGGGAUGCCCUCUCUCUCCACUUCUCUUCAACAUAGUUCUCGAAACACUGGCCAGAGCAAUUAGACAGACGAAAGAAAUUAAAGGCAUAAAAAUAGGAAAAGAAGAACUUAAAUUAUCACUAUUUGCAGAUGAUAUGAUUCUAUACCUAGCAGACCCAAAAGGCUCUACAAAGAAACUAUUAGAGCUAAUAAAUGAAUUCAGCAAAGUGGCAGGAUAUAAAAUCAACACGCAUAAAUCAAAGGCAUUCCUGUAUAUCAGCGACAAAUCCUCUGAAAUGGAAAUGAGGACAACCACUCCAUUCAAAAUAUCUUCAAAAAAAAUAAAAUACUUGGGAAUCAACCUAACAAAAGAGGUGAAAGACUUAUACAAUGAAAACUACAGAACCCUAAAGAGAGAAAUAGAAGAAGAUCUUAGAAGAUGGAAAAAUAUACCCUGUUCAUGGAUAGGCAGAACUAACAUCAUCAAAAUGGCGAUAUUACCAAAAGUUCUCUAUAGGUUUAAUGCAAUGCCAAUCAAAAUCCCAAUGGCAUUUCUUGUAGAAAUAGAGAAAGCAAUCAUGAAAUUCAUAUGGAAAAAUAAAAGACCCAGAAUAGCAAAAACAAUGCUAAGCAAGAAGUGUGAAUCAGGCGGUAUAGCGAUACCAGACUUCAAACUAUACUACAGAGCAAUAGUAACAAAAACAGCAUGGUACUGGUACCAAAACAGGCGGGUGGACCAAUGGUACAGAAUAGAGGACACAGAAACCAAUCCACAAAACUACAACUAUCUUAUAUUUGAUAAAGGGGCUAAAAGCAUGCAAUGGAGGAAGGAUAGCAUCUUCAACAAAUGGUGCUGGGAAAACUGGAAAUCCAUAUGCAACAAAAUGAAACUGAAUCCCUUUCUCUCGCCAUGCACAAAAGUGAAUUCAAAAUGGAUCAAGGAACUUGAUAUCAAAUCAGAGACGCGCCGUCUGAUAGAAGAAAAAGUUGGCUACGAUCUACAGUCGGUGGGGUCGGGCUCCAAAUUCCUCAAUAGGACACCCAUAGCACAAAAGUUAAUAACUAGAAUCAACAAAUGGGACUUACUCAAACUAAGAAGUUUUUUCUCAGCAAAAGAAACAAUAAGAGAGGUAAAUAGAGAGCCUACAUCCUGGGAACAAAUCUUUACUCCUCACACUUCAGAUAGAGCCCUAAUAUCCAGAGUAUACAAAGAACUCAAAAAAUUAGACAAUAAGAGAACAAACAACCCAAUCAACAAAUGGGCCAAGGACCUGAACAGACACUUCUCAGAGGAGGACAUACAGUCAAUCAACAAGUACAUGAAAAAAUGCUCAACAUCUCUAGCUGUCAGAGAAAUGCAAAUCAAAACCACCCUAAGAUACCAUCUCACUCCAGUAAGAUUGGCAGCCAUUAGGAAGUCAAACAACAACAAGUGCUGGCGAGGAUGUGGGGAAAAGGGUACACUUGUACAUUGCUGGUGGGACUGCAGAUUGGUGCAGCCAAUUUGGAAAGCAGUAUGGAGAUUUCUUGGAAAGCUGGGAAUGGAGCCACCAUUUGACCCAGCUAUUCCCCUUCUUGGUCUAUUCCCUAAAGACCUAAAAAGAGCAUGCUACAGGGACACUGCUACAUCGAUGUUCAUAGCAGCACAGUUCACAAUAGCAAGACUGUGGAACCAACCUAGAUGCCCUUCAAUAGACGAAUGGAUAAAAAAAAUGUGGCAUUUAUACACAAUAGAGUAUUACUCUGCAUUAAAAAAUGACAAAAUCAUAGAAUUUACAGGGAAAUGGAUGGCAUUAGAGCAGAUUAUGCUAAGUGAAGCUAGCCAAUCCCUAAAAAACAAAUGCCAAAUGUCUUCUUUGAUAUAAGGAGAGUAACUAAGAACAGAGUAGGGACGAAGAGCAGGAGAAGAAGAUUAACAUUUAACAGGGAUGAGAGGUGGGAGGGAAAGGGAGAGAGAAGGUAAAUUGCACGGUAAUGGAAGGAGACCCUCAGGGUUAUACAGUGGAGGGGGUAGAGAGAGAGGAGGGGAGGGGAGGGGAGAGGUGGGGAGGGGGAGGGUGGAGGAUGGGAAAGGCAGCGGAGCACAACAGACACUAGUAUGGCAAUUUGUAAAUCAAUGGAUGUGUAACUGAUGUGAUUCUGCAAUCUGUGUAUGGGGUGAAGGUGGGAGUUCAUAACCCACUUGAAUCAAAGUGUGGAAUAUGAUAUGUCAAGAAAUUUGUAAUGUUUUGAACAACCCACAAUAAAAAAUUAAAAAAAAAUAAUAAAAUAAAGUACAAUUUAGAAUCUAGAGUGUAUGGUAAAAAUCAUGGGUCUGUAUGAGUUAACAAAAAUUAAAGGAUAGCCUUAAAUCUCUUAUACAUUUGGGAAACAAUGUUAAUGAUCAGAAAUUGACUUAGUCAAAGUAAACAGAUAUAAGACAGAUUUCUAGGGGCUGGGGUUGUGGCUCAGCGGUAAAGCGCUUGCCAGCAAGUGUGGGCCCCUGAUUUCGAUCCUCAGCAUCACAUAUAAAUAAAAGGUUUAAAAAAGAGAGACAGUAUGGCCCUUCAUGGCCAUGUAUAAAAGAAAACAGUUAUUGGUUAUCUUGCUGGUAUAUUUACAUAAACUUUCACAUGACACAUAGGCUUAAACAGAUGUAGUUCUCAGAUGUAUACAUAUACCUAGUCUCAGAUGUAUACAUAUACCUGUUUUUUGUGUCAACUAUAUUGUUAUAAUUUAAAUGACAACUAUUUGUUUAACCAAUUAUAAAGUAAUCAUAUAAGGCUUUAAAACAGGUGCAAACCCUAGUUUCUUCAAGAGUUAAUUUCCUGCUGGGAGCAGUGGCACAUGCCUGUAAUCCCAGUAACUAGGGAGUCUGAGACAGGAGAAUCGUGAGUUCAAAGCCAGCCUGAGCAACUUAGCAAGGCACUAAGCAACUCUUCGAGAUCCUGUCUGUAAGUAAAAUACAAAAUAGACCUGGGGAUGUGGUUCAGUGCCCCUGAGUUCAAUCACUGGUGUCCCCCUCCAAAAAACAAAACAAAACAAAACAAAAACAGUUUCUUUAAGUAACAAAUACAAGAAAAUUAUUUUGCUAGGUAAGAAUGAGUCAAUGUUUUAGACUUAAUUUCCUGUCAGUACAUCAAAGUUUAAAUAACUGACUGUGCUAACAAAAGACCCAGACAAAUGCAAACCUCAAAAUUAGCUCAGGUUUUUUUGUUUGUUUUUUCCUUCCUGAUUUGUGAAGUUUGCUGAGUGUGUAAGGGAAGGGAAAAUUGGGGAAGAGAAACAGUAGUCUCUUUUCAAGCCAACAAAACCCUUGGUAUAGAUGCUUUUUACUGUCCACGUGGUAUAAAACCAUAAGAGUUUAGCAUAUAGUUGAUAUGAGGUCCUUCAGAGGGCUGCUGGAGUCAGGUCUUGGGCUCAAAGUAUUUGUGCAACACUAAGGAGUCGCCCCAGCCAGAUGCUCUCAGUCACUUGGAGCCGCCUGGCUGCCACCUGCAGCAAACCUUUCCCACCCAGCAGUGGAUAUUUGUCCCCUAAGGCUGCUAGAGGUAGCUUCAGGCCCAAGACCUUCACACAGCACCAGAGUGGCCACCGCGGGCGGAAUUCAGUUGCCUUGGGCUUGUGGCCUCUCCCUUGUACCCAAUCUCUCCCACAUCAAGGGGACAGCAGAGGACACGGGGGACCUACGAUGACAGGGUGGAGAAAUGCAGAGUUAGAUUCAGUCCAAUCCUGGUGCCCUGGCUCUCGGCGGCUCUUCCUUCAGCUUCCACAGAACAGCUUCUGUGCAGCUGCCUCUGAUGGCUUCAUCACGGAGUUCAGUGAUCUGAGGGUGCGCAAGUCCUUGACUCCAGAGGAAAUGAAGAGGCUUGAGUCAGGACAAGAAGAGCAUUGUGGGAAGCCAUUCUCGCAUGUGAUUGGGCACCUCCCUAACUGGGUGUGAGGCGUUCUGGCUAAACUGUGUCAGAACUAAUCCCCACCCUUUCCAGAUGCGAGAGCCUGUGGGGGUGUGACUGACCAUUGACCCUGAGACCAAUCACUCAUCUGACCUUGGAAUGCCUCCCCCUCGACCUUCAUUGGAUGGAAUUUUCCUCUGAAUUUCUUGUUCCCCAUAAAAGGCCACUCCCUGGCGUGCUCUCUCUCUCUCUCUCUCCUGCUAGUCCUGAGUAAGCCUCGCUGCCCCACCGGGUGGUUCAAGGCAGGAGCCAGAGGGAGGGCCGUCUCAGACCUGGUCAAAGAAAAAGGUAAAUUGAGUUUGUGUGUUUAUUUUGAUCUCACUAGUUAACUUCUAUGCUUUGAACCUCUUGUAUGAAGCCAGUGUGGAGAGCAUCAUCCUGGAGGAGGGCAAGGAGGUCCUGCUAGGUGAGGUGACCAGACUGGACAUUCCUAUGCCACCUUUGUCAAGGUGCUCCAGACAAGGACGGCUGCUAUGCCCUCUAUGACGCAAGCCAGGAGAGCAAGAAGGAGGACCUGGUAUUUAUCUUCUGGGCCUCUGAAUCUGCACCCCUUAAGAGCAAAAUGAUCUAUUCCAGGUCCAAGGACGCCAUCAAGAAGAAGCUGACAGGGAUCGAGCAUGAAUUACAUGCAAACUGCUAUGAGGAGGUCAAGAACUGCUGCACCCCGGCUGAAAAACUGGGGGGCAAUGCUGUCAUCUCUCUGGAGGGCAAGCCUUUGUAAGCCCCCUCCAGCCACCUGCCUGGAACAUCUGGCAGCCCCAGACCUGCCCUAGGGGGUUGCAGGCUGCCCCCUUCCUGCCAGACUGGAGGGGCUGGGGGAUCCCAGCAGAGGGAGGGCAUUCCCUUCACCCCAGUUGCCAAACAGCCCACCCACUGAACCUUCCUCCUCCCUCCAUCCCUGACAGUUCUGGCCUUCCCAAACUGCUUUUGAUCUUCUAUUCCUCUUGGGUUGAAACAGACCAAGUCUUCCCCCAGGCACCCAGUUUGGGAGGAGCUGUAUUUUUUUUUAACGAUACCCCUAUUUCCCACCUGUUUUUCCCCCAUCCCAUGAUGCCAAGUUCUAAGUAGUGACUCUGUGCCUGUCUGUUUAGUUCUGUGUAUAAAUGGAAUAUUGUGGAGAUGAUCCCUCCCUGUGCCAGGUGGUUCCCCUCCCUUUUCUCUUGGUCUUGACCAUUCAUGGAAGCAGGACAGUAAGGAACCUUCAAUUAAAGAAUUUAAAAAAAAAAAAGAAAAUGCAGAGAGUUAGAGAUUCGGCCAUAGCCAUGUGAGCAGUGGCUGGAGGGGCUCCCAGCCUUCAGAGGACCUUAGAGGUGCUAGAUGAUCACAGUCACUUUCUAGGCCUCAUCAGCUGUUUAACUGACCACGGAGAAAGGAGCUGUGUUACAGGAAGUAAUAAAUAUUGCCUUGCGCUCAACUCUGGUUAGGGAACCAAUCCCAUCAGAAACACAAACUUUUGAGAUUCUCCUUCUGCAAUUUACUAAAACAUUCAUAAUUUGUCUACAUUCUUAGUUUUAUCCUCUGUUUUGGACUUUAACACAAGAAUAUUACUUUAUUUUCUGAUUUUCCAUACUAAAGUAUAUUUCCAUACCUAUAACUUUCUUUUAUCUUUUUUAGUUUCAGAUCUUUCUUCUGGUGUCCUGCUGUUCUUGCACACCAGAGGCCAUGCCUUUUGGCACCUUCAACUUAUUGCCUGACUGUUCAGACUCCUUACCAUGCAACUAAAUAAAUGUGAGUACAGAA
rnacentral:lncRNA from 1 species